rnacentral:rRNA from 1 species
UGGGGAAUUUUGGGACAAUGGGGGGAAACCCUGAUCCAGCCAUCCCGCGUGUGCGAUGAAGGCCUUCGGGUUGUAAAGCACUUUUGGCAGGAAAGAAACGUCGCGGGUUAAUACCCCGCGAAACUGACGGUACCUGCAGAAUAAGCACCGGCUAACUACGUGCCAGCAGCCGCGGUAAUACGUAGGGUGCAAGCGUUAAUCGGAAUUACUGGGCGUAAAGCGUGCGCAGGCGGUUCGGAAAGAAAGAUGUGAAAUCCCAGAGCUUAACUUUGGAACUGCAUUUUUAACUACCGGGCUAGAGUGUGUCAGAGGGAGGUGGAAUUCCGCGUGUAGCAUGAAAUGCGUAGAUAUGCGGAGGAACACCGAUGGCGAAGGCAGCCUCCUGGGAUAACACUGACGCUCAUGCACGAAAAGCGUGGGGGAGCAAACAGGAUUAGAUACCCUGGUAGUCCACGCCCUAAAACGAUGUCAACUAGCUGUUGGGGGCCUUCGGGCCUUGGCAGCG